GCUCGCUUAGCUCAGUUGGUUAGAGCGUGGUGCUAAUAACGCCAAGGUCACAAGUUCGACCCUUGUAGUGAGCA
rfam:Parasitella parasitica strain CBS 412.66 genome assembly, contig: contig_20803